rnacentral:lncRNA from 1 species
UGUUGAUUGUGAAAUGCCAGUUGAAGCAUAUGUCCUGUGAGCUUAGGGGUGCUACAAGUUGACCACUGCAGCAGUAAAGAUGACUCUGAAGAAUGGCGUGGGAUGGAUCCUUUCAAAUGCACUUGAGCAGCGGUCUCCAACCACAGGGCCACAGAGCUGGAGCUGGAUCUACCAUGAAGGACUUCUGAAUCCAGGAAGAGAGACUGACUGGGCAACAUGUUAUUCAGGGUCUCCCUCUGUUGUCCAAGGCUGGAGUGUAGUAGUGCUAUCGCAGCUGACUGCAGCCUCAACCUUCCAGGCUGAAGCGAUCCUCCUACCUCAACCUCCCACGUGGCUGAGACUACAGGUGCUUGACACUAUGCCCAACUAAUAUUUGGAAUUUUCGUAUACGU